GCCGUUGUGGUGUAGGGUGGUUCGCACAUCUGGUUGAAGCCCAGAAGGCAUCGUUCGACUCGAUCGGCGGCACCA
rnacentral:tRNA from 1 species